GCAGCUGGCAAGAUGCUCCUCACAUAAUACUGAACACAUUUAAGGUCCUUUCCACCCCUAUAUCAAUGACCCUGCAAAUAAAGCACCAUCUUCCCCAUCUCUUUAGAGCAUCCCUUGUCACUCACAAUAGGACAGGGCCUCCACCCAGUCAGAGGAGGCUAAAUGUAGUUUGAGGAACAGUUCAUAAAGAAUUCAGGUACAAAUCUAGAUUUUCUAUAGCAUAUACUAGAAUAGGCCCAAGCCUUGGCACCCAGAAAUUAAAAUCCGAGUGAAUGUGUACCAUGUUUGCAAAGAAGCUAAUAACCCUGAGCCUCCCAUGUGAACGUGAAAUCGGAGGUUUCUAAUACAGGAGUCUUAAGGCCUUGAGCUCACGUGGUGUUUCUAUGCUGCUGUCCAGAGGCAGUGUGUGGUAUGAGAGCCAGCCUAGUCUGGAGAAGAGCCUUGAGUUCAAGUACUCUGAGAGGUAUGGAGGUGUGAAUCAAAAAAUCAUUUCACUUAGCUUGCUCUAAGUAACUCUUAAUUAAGACCAUUAAAUUGAUUGUAUUGGUAGAGGGAGGUUCCCAAGACUAAUGAAAUAAGUCCAGCUCCUAAUCACCAUCUUUUUCAACUAGCAACAGACAAUAGUCUGUUCCUCUUUAUUUCACAAAAACCAGACCCUACUGCCUCUCUUUAAAAUCACAAAUGAAUUUAUUAAUUUUUUUAAAAAAUAAUAUGUGAACCGAACCAAAAAAUACCUUAAAAGUAACCUGGUCCAAACUCAUUUUAGCAAUAAUGAAACUAAGACCCAAUGAGAAGCUAGAAGGGGCCAAACUAGGCCUAGAACUCGGGGUCUCUUGACUUUUAUGCCUCAGACCCCUUUCUAUGCUACUUUCCUAGUGUCAGGUCUGUCCCUUUAAUCUAAGGGGGUCAAAAUUAGGAAAGAGGUAUGAUGAAAUAUGCAAAGUUUAUUGAUUUUGCCAUGAAAUUCAGCUACAUUAGAAUUCACUGCUCUACAAGCUUGAGUUUGCUUUCAAUUCAAUGGCAAGAGAGAAUGAAUUUCUACACUCUGAAAUAAAAUACCCUCCCUUUUCCCCUCCAAAUCUUCUCACAAGGCACCUUGGGAAAGGGUUCCUUUUUCACAUGCCCCUAAGCACAUCAGGAUUGUUUUUGUGACAUUUUCAAAUCCCAUAACAUCCUGACCUAGAAGAAUGAGACAUUCCUAGGCUGAAUCUGUGCUUUCUCCAAAUAGGCAUCCUUCACGAUCUAUCCCCACCCCACCCCCCAAAAAAAAGUAAAUAAAAAAUAACCUAUUCUGUCCUCUAAAUUCUAUAGGGUGCUCCCAAAGUCUUGUGUUGUUUUCUAAGCUAUUAAAAGAUUUGGCACCUUUGGAAGAAACUGGAUUAACUGCCUCAGAGGUUCAUAGGAAUCAAGAGCUGGAAAUAUAAUCUUGUCCAGUCAUUGCAUAGAGGAAGAAAAUGAGAUCCCAAGAGUGGAGUGAUUUCCCCAAGUUCCCAAAGCUAACUUAUAGGUCUUCCGGACAAAUUCCCACAGAGGAACAAAGAAUGAAGAAGGCUAGGGACUUGAAUAAGGAGAGGGGAAACCUAAGACAAGUCCGGAAGAUACCUGAUACUUGACCCGACCCCAAUACUCCUGGAUUCAAAAUGUACAAGUUUCCAUCAAGCCCAAGAGGAUUCUGUGGCUAAAUGAGGUUGGAAAAUAAUGCUUUCCAGGAGUCUCGAUGAAAAGAUUGCUCACCAUCGGGGAUUUUCAGUUUAAAAGCUUCUUCCCAUACCCUGGUUUGGGCUCACUGAUCUCACCAUGAACCCUUCGUCAUCCACUGUCCUAUUAACAGAAUUACAUCUUUUUUUUUUUCUGAUCAGAAAUACACCAAGGACUCAAGAUUCACAUCCAGACAUGUCAGGGUUUCCGAAUGCCCAGCAGGCACUCUGGGUUGCCAAUACUCAAGAAAUGACACUGGUUGAAAAAAAAAUUCUUUUUAUUGGAACUCAUCUGAACAUCAGAUAUACCUGGUGUUGGUUAGCAAGAACCGUUUGUACAUUUGAUAUUGAUGGUGCCAAAACCAAAACAGUGACUGGACAUGAUAGGGACUGAUAAGGAAAGGAUAAAGGUGACGGUAAGAACAAAAAGAAAUGAUUCUGGGGAGAAAAGGAAGGGGAGAAGGGGCAGGGAGGGGAACGACGGGAAGAUAAAAGGAAUAUAGCCAGUCAGAGAUUAAGUGAAGAUGCAAAACUGGGUACAACAAAAUCCUUUUACAAAAUAUAAAU